CAGUCCCGCGGUAAUACAGAGGGUGCAAGCGUUAAUCGGAAUUACUGGGCGUAAAGCGCGCGUAGGUGGUUUGUUAAGUUGGAUGUGAAAGCCCCGGGCUCAACCUGGGAACUGCAUCCAAAACUGGCAAGCUAGAGUACGGUAGAGGGUGGUGGAAUUUCCUGUGUAGCGGUGAAAUGCGUAGAUAUAGGAAGGAACACCAGUGGCGAAGGCGACCACCUGGACUGAUACUGACACUGAGGUGCGAAAGCGUGGGGAGCAAACAGGAUUAGAGACCCCGGUAGUCCCUGUCUCUUAUACA
rnacentral:rRNA from 1 species